rnacentral:rRNA from 1 species
UAUUGCACAAUGGGGGAAACCCUGAUGCAGCAACGCCGCGUGAGUGAAGAAGUAUUUCGGUAUGUAAAGCUCUAUCAGCAGGGAAGAAAAUGACGGUACCUGAGUAAGAAGCCCCGGCUAACUACGUGCCAGCAGCCGCGGUAAUACGUAGGGGGCAAGCGUUAUCCGGAUUUACUGGGUGUAAAGGGAGCGUAGACGGCGAUACAAGUCUGAAGUGAAAGCCCGGGGCUCAACCCCGGGACUGCUUUGGAAACUGUGUUGCUGGAGUGCUGGAGAGGCAAGCGGAAUUCCUAGUGUAGCGGUGAAAUGCGUAGAUAUCAGGAGGAACACCGGUGGCGAAGGCGGCCUGCUGGACUGUAACUGACACUGAGGCUCGACAGCGUGGGGAGCAAACAGG